GGGUUGUGAGGUUAAGCGACUAAGCGUACACGGUGGAUGCCCUGGCAGUCAGAGGCGAUGAAGGACGUGCUAAUCUGCGAUAAGCGUCGGUAAGGUGAUAUGAACCGUUAUAACCGGCGAUUUCCGAAUGGGGAAACCCAGUGUGAUUCGUCACACUAUCAUUAACUGAAUCCAUAGGUUAAUGAGGCGAACCGGGGGAACUGAAACAUCUAAGUACCCCGAGGAAAAGAAAUCAACCGAGAUUCCCCCAGUAGCGGCGAGCGAACGGGGAGCAGCCCAGAGCCUGAAUCAGUGUGUGUGUUAGUGGAAGCGUCUGGAAAGGCGCGCGAUACAGGGUGACAGCCCCGUACACAAAAAUGCACAUGCUGUGAGCUCGAUGAGUAGGGCGGGACACGUGGUAUCCUGUCUGAAUAUGGGGGGACCAUCCUCCAAGGCUAAAUACUCCUGACUGACCGAUAGUGAACCAGUACCGUGAGGGAAAGGCGAAAAGAACCCCGGCGAGGGGAGUGAAAAAGAACCUGAAACCGUGUACGUACAAGCAGUGGGAGCACAGAGCAAUCUGUGUGACUGCGUACCUUUUGUAUAAUGGGUCAGCGACUUAUAUUCUGUAGCAAGGUUAACCGAAUAGGGGAGCCGAAGGGAAACCGAGUCUUAACUGGGCGUUAAGUUGCAGGGUAUAGACCCGAAACCCGGUGAUCUAGCCAUGGGCAGGUUGAAGGUUGGGUAACACUAACUGGAGGACCGAACCGACUAAUGUUGAAAAAUUAGCGGAUGACUUGUGGCUGGGGGUGAAAGGCCAAUCAAACCGGGAGAUAGCUGGUUCUCCCCGAAAGCUAUUUAGGUAGCGCCUCGUGAAUUCAUCUCCGGGGGUAGAGCACUGUUUCGGCAAGGGGGUCAUCCCGACUUACCAACCCGAUGCAAACUGCGAAUACCGGAGAAUGUUAUCACGGGAGACACACGGCGGGUGCUAACGUCCGUCGUGAAGAGGGAAACAACCCAGACCGCCAGCUAAGGUCCCAAAGUCAUGGUUAAGUGGGAAACGAUGUGGGAAGGCCCAGACAGCCAGGAUGUUGGCUUAGAAGCAGCCAUCAUUUAAAGAAAGCGUAAUAGCUCACUGGUCGAGUCGGCCUGCGCGGAAGAUGUAACGGGGCUAAACCAUGCACCGAAGCUGCGGCAGCGACGCUGAUGCGUUGUUGGGUAGGGGAGCGUUCUGUAAGCCUGCGAAGGUGUGCUGUGAGGCAUGCUGGAGGUAUCAGAAGUGCGAAUGCUGACAUAAGUAACGAUAAAGCGGGUGAAAAGCCCGCUCGCCGGAAGACCAAGGGUUCCUGUCCAACGUUAAUCGGGGCAGGGUGAGUCGACCCCUAAGGCGAGGCCGAAAGGCGUAGUCGAUGGGAAACAGGUUAAUAUUCCUGUACUUGGUGUUACUGCGAAGGGGGGACGGAGAAGGCUAUGUUGGCCGGGCGACGGUUGUCCCGGUUUAAGCGUGUAGGCUGGUUUUCCAGGCAAAUCCGGAAAAUCAAGGCUGAGGCGUGAUGACGAGGCACUACGGUGCUGAAGCAACAAAUGCCCUGCUUCCAGGAAAAGCCUCUAAGCAUCAGGUAACAUCAAAUCGUACCCCAAACCGACACAGGUGGUCAGGUAGAGAAUACCAAGGCGCUUGAGAGAACUCGGGUGAAGGAACUAGGCAAAAUGGUGCCGUAACUUCGGGAGAAGGCACGCUGAUAUGUAGGUGAAGUCCCUCGCGGAUGGAGCUGAAAUCAGUCGAAGAUACCAGCUGGCUGCAACUGUUUAUUAAAAACACAGCACUGUGCAAACACGAAAGUGGACGUAUACGGUGUGACGCCUGCCCGGUGCCGGAAGGUUAAUUGAUGGGGUCAGCGCAAGCGAAGCUCUUGAUCGAAGCCCCGGUAAACGGCGGCCGUAACUAUAACGGUCCUAAGGUAGCGAAAUUCCUUGUCGGGUAAGUUCCGACCUG
rnacentral:rRNA from 1 species